GGUGUUGCAUGGCUGUCGUCAGCUCGUGUCGUGAGACGUUGGGUUAAGUCCCGCAACGAGCGCAACCCUCAUCCUUAGUUACCAUCAGGUAAUGCUGGGGACUUUAAGGAAACUGCCAGUGAUAAACUGGAGGAAGGUGGGGAUGAUGUCAAGUCAUCAUGGCCCUUAUGGAGUGGGCUACACACGUGCUACAAUGGUGGCUACAAUGGGCUGCAAAGUCGCGAGGCUAAGCUAAUCCCUUAAAAGCCAUCUCAGUUCGGAUUGUACUCUGCAACUCGAGUGCAUGAAGGUGGAAUCGCUAGUAAUCGCGGAUCAGCAUGCCGCGGUGAAUACGUUCCCGGGUCUUGUACACAC
rnacentral:rRNA from 1 species